rnacentral:rRNA from 1 species
CAGUCGCCGCGGUAAUACGUAGGUGGCAAGCGUUAUCCGGAAUUAUUGGGCGUAAAGCGCGCGUAGGCGGUUUUUUAAGUCUGAUGUGAAAGCCCACGGCUCAACCGUGGAGGGUCAUUGGAAACUGGAAAACUUGAGUGCAGAAGAGGAAAGUGGAAUUCCAUGUGUAGCGGUGAAAUGCGCAGAGAUAUGGAGGAACACCAGUGGCGAAGGCGGCUUUCUGGUCUGCAACUGACGCUGAUGUGCGAAAGCGUGGGGAUCAAACAGGAUUAGAUACCCCUGUAGUCCCUGUCUCUUAUAC